rnacentral:sRNA from 1 species
GACAAAGAAGGGUUGGGCGGGACAAGGCUCUAUUAGCCAAUUCAAGAGGAGGAUCUUAUCGGAGGCUUGUAUGAUGCAACCAAUGCAGUGGACACCGGAGGAGGCGUGGGCAAAGACUAGGAUGAUUGGCAUAGCGUGUUCCAAUCGCUGAGGCUUUUAUUCCUUAGGGUGAUGAGGAUGAUGCGGGUGGCGGGAGUCCCUAGAGGACAGCCUCCUGACCUUCUGGGUCCUGGAGACCUGGGGCGGUGGCCCGCCCUCGGGAAUAGUAGAGAACAGGUCUUUCUGUACCAGCUGAGCAGGUGGCUGUCCCCGCCAGGCUCCGUUCCUGCGCACGUUCCUGCGUUAGCCAGGCCGGGCUGACAGCCAAGUCCCCGACACUGGACUCUAGUGGUCCGCCUGGACACGCUGUACCCGAUCGCGGGUGACCUUGACCAUCUCCACUCAGUGCUUCCGCAGAAAGAAACCUGGGGGUGUUGUCUACCUUGAUCGCUGGCAGGAGAGACCCUGCAGAAGGUAAGAGUCUAAGUCUGUCAUCCAGGAGAGCCUCAAAUGCACAAUGCUCUUGCUUCAGUCUCCAGCGCGCUGGGAUUUCAGGCAUGUGUUACCAUUCCCUAUACCUCCGUCCUGUUGUUAGCAUCUCUCUGUAAGCUGCCCUGCCGACCUCCAUCCACACAGGAUGUACGGCUGUAAUUCCUCUCCCAUUCGGUGAGGCACAGUUUUGGCAACUCAUUUUUGAGGAGUUUGAACAAGAUGCUGUCAUUACUGAAGUAGAAGGGCAUAGCAGUGUGAAAAGAGAACAACAAAACAAAUGCGGCCUCAACUGAGCAGAGCUCACACCAUCAGUAAAAGCUCGUGUGGAUUAUUCCUUGACGAAGUGCACUGAGGAUAGCAUCACCAGUUUAAUUCUGAGAAACCAAAACUCGAGGGACGUUCAAGGAAAGAACUGGACGGUGCCCUUCGGAAGAGUCAAGGAUUUGAAGAUAAAGAAACCCUGAAGACUGCCCCACCUCGUAGACACAGAGGACGCAUGAUCAUUAAAUACAAUAUGGUAUCCUAAAGCAGUAUCUCAAGACGCUGUAAAUUGAUGGCUCUACUCUUGCUCAAAGCCAGCAGAGCCGCGCUCCUAACAUUUCAACAUUUGCCAGUAGAGGGCAGCACUGCCUUUUUUGAGAAAUGUUGAGCAUCUAGGGAAAAAGCUCCCAACGGUUGUCAUUUUUGUUUUUAAUCUUACUUUACCCAUGCAAGCUCUCUUGAGAUUUAUUUUUCUUAUUGCUUGUGUGAUUUUAUAGAGAGAAUCCCACACCUUCUGUUGCUUAAUAAAUGGAAGAUGGAGCAAUUAGUGAAAAACAGGUUUCAGCUGUCCUGACGGGUAUGCGUCUGGCAAAGGUAAACCUUAGGUAACCAGAUGGCAGUACUGUGUGAACACAGUAAAUGCUUCUGAACUUUCUAGAUAGUCUUUCUGAAGCAGGAUGUGGUUUUUUUAAUGUGUGUAAAUCAUAUGGUCAUAACCCUGAUGAUGGCUUCUAAAUUCCUACUCACUGACUUCAUUCCGCUGUGUCAGUGUUCAUUUCUAGCACACUUGGGGUGGAUCAGGGCAAAUGCAGACAGAGCCCAGGUAUUGUGACUUUAAGGAACGAUGUUUCACAGGGUGGGGGAGGAACUUCUUUGCUGAAGCUGAGGUUACCUGAAAGGUUUUUGUAAACAGUUUGUAUGCUAGCCUGAUUCUAUUACACUAUGAUUUGAAUUUCUCUAAGCAAUAAAGGGGGAGGGAGGAGAAAUCUGACUUUUGUACUAAAUGUAGUUCACUCUCUUUGUCAGGAGAACAGAGAGGAGUAAUAACCCUACUUUUAGAAAAUACAUAGCCCAAGUAUUCUUAGUGUAUUUAGGUUCUGUUCUGACCCUGGAAAGAUUUUUGGCAGCGACUCUUCAGUGCUAACUUAAACAAACCUUCUGAGGAGAAAGUGGGGACAGACAUUGAGUCUAGCCUCAGCCUUGCCUUGUCAACUGGGCAAAUUAUAACCUCUGAGUCCGUUUCCUCCACUCUUACGGGAUUUAUUAGAAGGGUUGAUUUAGAAAAUGGCAUUGCUCAGUGGUUAGAGUCCUGGCUGCUCUUCCACAGGACCCUGGUUUGAUUCCCAGCACCACAUGGCUGCUAACAACUGUCUGUAACUCCAAUCCCAGGGGAUCUCAUGCCUUCUUCCGGCCUCUGUGAGCACUACACAUACAUGUGGCACACAGACAUAUAUGCAGACGAAACACCCAUACACAUAAAAACAAAUAAAUGAGUAAAUUUUUAAUUGCUUUAAAAGCUGUUUUGACACCCAAUACGUUUUUCUAUCACUGUAGCCCAAAGAGAUUAGUAACUGUUCUAAACACAAAAGAUUUUCUGUCUCCUCCCAUUUGGGAUCUUUACACUGCCUGGAUUGUUGGCUAAUUGUCAGGUAACCUUAACUAUCUCCCUAACUUGAUUGCUGACUUCUAAACACCCAAAACCAUUAGACCUAACUUUCUGCAUUUUCCAUGACAAAAAAAGGUAUUUGGUGCCUAAUUGCAACAUGAAUAUUUGUCGAUUGAUUAAAGACAAGCUCUUUAAAACUA